rnacentral:rRNA from 1 species
CCUACGGGGAGGCAGCAGUAGGGAAUCUUCCACAAUGGGCGAAAGCCUGAUGGAGCAACGCCGCGUGAGUGAAGAAGGAUUUCGGUUCGUAAAACUCUGUUGUAAGGGAAGAACAAGUACAGUAGUAACUGGCUGUACCUUGACGGUACCUUAUUAGAAAGCCACGGCUAACUACGUGCCAGCAGCCGCGGUAAUACGUAGGUGGCAAGCGUUGUCCGGAAUUAUUGGGCGUAAAGCGCGCGCAGGUGGUUUCUUAAGUCUGAUGUGAAAGCCCACGGCUCAACCGUGGAGGGUCAUUGGAAACUGGGAGACUUGAGUGCAGAAGAGGAUAGUGGAAUUCCAAGUGUAGCGGUGAAAUGCGUAGAGAUUUGGAGGAACACCAGUGGCGAAGGC